AAUUGCUUGCAGGAAAUAUUCAUGAUGCACUGCACUGCUUUUCGGACAUAUAAGCAUUUUCUUGAUGAGGGAAGGGCUCCAUAUCCUGUUCCACUUUUUAUUGAUGAAGGACCAUCAGAAGAGGCUAUCAGCUGGAAUGCAGAUAAACACUUUGACAUUUCAUUCUAGCAGAGAGAAUUUAGCUUUUUGAAGGCUAUGUUUAGUGCGUUCUCUUCAACCCCUGAUCCACUUGAUUAUUACAUGAUAUGGCAUCAACAUGCAGUCUUGGAAGCAGUGGGUGUUAUCAACUCUAAUGAUCUUCAUGUUCUAGACAUGGGGUUCGUGUCUCAGCUUUUGAGCUUAGGGAAAUGCCAUUGGGCCAUAUAUGUGGUCCUUCGUUCGCCCGUUCGAGAAGAUUGUCAAUUUCUUCAUGUGAAUUCGAUUCGGGAGAUAUUGUUCCAGUACUGCGAAAUUUGGAGUUCAGAUGAAUCUCAGCAACAGUUCAUUGAGGAUUUAGGCAUUCCUUCAGAAUGGAUUCAUGAGGCACUGGCAAUUUAUUAGUCAUAAUGGUGAUCUGCCAAAAGCUAUUGAGCACUUUCUUCAGUGUGCAAAUUGGCAGAAAGCUCGUAACAUCAGUUGCUCAUAGGUUAUUCUUGCAAGCCAAACACUCAAGAGAUAUGGAGGAUUGCAACUUCCAUGGAGGACCACAAAAAUUGAAAUUGAGAAUAUAUAUUUCAUAUUAUUUGAUGAGACUCACUUCAGGGAGACACCAAUUCCAUGACUCCAUUGGUAUGCCAAUUUAUAAAAGGAGAUCCCCUUUUUUAUUAUCAUUCAUGUACACAAUGAUUAUUCUGAAGUGCAAAUUUAUGACACUAUAGGAUGGUAUUUGCGUUGCAUCAAUU